CCUACGGGAGGCUGCAGUGAGGAAUAUUGGUCAAUGGGCGCGAGCCUGAACCAGCCAAGUAGCGUGAGGGAUGAAGGUUCUAUGGAUCGUAAACUUCUUUUAUAAGGGAAUAAAGUGUGGGAAGUGUGCCUUUUUGUAUGUACUUUAUGAAUAAGGAUCGGCUAACUCCGUGCCAGCAGCCGCGGUAAUACGGAGGAUCCGAGCGUUAUCCGGAUUUAUUGGGUUUAAAGGGAGCGUAGGUGGGCUGUUAAGUCAGCGGUGAAAGUCUGUGGCUCAACCAUAAAAUUGCCGUUGAGACUGGUGGGCUUGAGUAUAGUUGAGGCAGGCGGAAUGCGUGGUGUAGCGGUGAAAUGCUUAGAUAUCACGCAGAACCCCGAUUGCGAAGGCAGCCUACUAAGCCGUGACUGACACUGAUGCUCGAAAGCGUGGGUAUCAAACAGGAUUAGAUACCCGAGUAGUC
rnacentral:rRNA from 1 species